CUGCUGCCGAGGAUGGGUAAGGUACACCAGUACCCACUAGGUGCCGGGGUGCUUCUGCACAAACAGAUAACCUCCAAGGACUCUGAGAUUUUCUCCAAAGUUGAAAGACCUGGAACACAGAUCUGAAGCCGUGGAACCACUAAAAUGUGAAUAAGCCCUCGUCACGGCACAGCAGUAGUAACGGUGCUCAUCGCCGUGGAAGUAAUGAGUGAGAAGCAUCUCAGUGAAGCGCUGCGAGCUUUCCGAAGGUUUCCUUCAGCCUCUCGUUUCUGGCACGCUUUUUGCAGCUCCGACUGCGGCUGCAGCUGAGCACCACCACCUCUGCCCCACCGUUCAGUUUGUUUGUGUUUUGUUUGUGUUUUUUUUUUUUUUUCCUUUAACUGCUGUGUAGCAACUUAGUCUUACUGAGAAUACAAGGGACAGCUGGUUUACAAAUAAAAUUGUGGCAUAAUUAAUUUAAGUAUUAGCAAUCCAUUAUUACCUGUUGCAGCUCUGUCUCUGCCAUGGAAACCAUAGUGCAGGUUACCUAGGAAUCCCUCUGGGAUCUAUUAAGUGUAAUUACGAAGGACUUGGAUCAGCAAAAAGUACAUAGGCAUUGUCUUCCAGGCUCAGCACUACAAAAGUGCUGAAAACUUCGCAGCUCCACGACAUUUGUGCUGAAUUGUCACGUAAUUGCCAGGAACAGGCUGCUGUGAAACAGUUAAGGAACGUUUAUCAAGAGGAGCAGAAGGGACUGGCUUCCCCUUCUCCGAUGUGUUGCUGCAUCCCGGGGGGUCGAUGGUUUUAAGAUCAUCUCAAAGGCUCUAGGAAGCUGUGAAGUGCUCAGACACAGGCUUGAGCUUUUUGCCUCGUGGUUCCUUAGGGCCAGAAAGGAUGGUGACGUCCACGGGUCAGUGCGCACAGAGACACGGAAAGAUCAGGUGCCUUCGAGUGUGAUUUUAAGGUGUUGGUGUGACCGCAGCGCUGGCUUGCUGACCCUGAAACCCCAACAUCCCCUGAUAGUGAGCACCAAGCAGCACUGAAUUUCAUCAGCGUUAUUGAGCAGCGGCCUCAAGAAAUGACCUUUGAAAGAGGAUUUUUCAAUUACUGAUGUGCAGCCCCCAUGGAGGGGGGCUC